rnacentral:rRNA from 1 species
CCCUGCCAUUUGUACACACCGCCCGUCGCACCUACCGAUUGAAUGGUCCGGUGAAAUCUUCGGAUCUAUUUUUGGUUUAUUUAUUUAGAUUAAAGAUGGAGAAGUUGAGUGAACCUUACCAUUUAGAGGAAGGU